AGCGUAUGUAAAAUUUCUGCAGAUUAGGAGGGUUCCUCUCCAGGAACGGGAGUGCUCAAAUAAUGCUCCUGAUAUUAUUCCCCAGAUAAGAUCUAUCGCAAAAAAGGACCGUGAUGUUAUGUAGAAAGGACAAAAAUCCUUUGUCUCUUUUGUCCGUGCAUAUAAGGAGCAUAAUUGCUCCUUCAUUUUCAGAGUCGUAUGUUGCCACAAAGUUGGGCGAGGAACUAUCACGACUGAUCUUUCUCUUGUGGCUGUUAGUCCGGUCGUGUUUAAUUUUCCUGAACUUAGCCAUGUAAAUUUUUAUUUCUUAGCCAUGAAUUCUAUAUAUGUAACCCACAUCAAGUAAUUAGUCGUGUUUCUUAUUAUGUAUGGAGUACUAUAUUCAUACUUUUAACUAUUUCUAUGGUAAUUAGGCUUGUGAUUUGUA